CCCAGGGGCUGGUGCGGGAAGGGCCCACAGUGUGCUUGGUGACACUGUAUGCCUUAACCGCCCAGUCCCUGGG
rnacentral:pre_miRNA from 14 species